CUACGGGAGGUAGCAGUGGGGAAUAUUGCACAAUGGGCGCAAGCCUGAUGCAGCCAUGCCGCGUGUAUGAAGAAGGCCUUCGGGUUGUAAAGUACUUUCAGCGGGGAGGAAGGGAGUAAAGUUAAUACCUUUGCUCAUUGACGUUACCCGCAGAAGAAGCACCGGCUAACUCCGUGCCAGCAGCCGCGGUAAUACGGAGGAUGCAAGCGUUAAUCGGAAUUACUGGGCGUAAAGCGCACGCAGGCGGUUUGUUAAGUCAGAUGUGAAAUCCCCGGGCUCAACCUGGGAACUGCAUCUGAUACAGGCAAGCUUGAGUCUCGUAGAGGGGGGUAGAAUUCCAGGUGUAGCGGUGAAAUGCGUAGAGAUCUGGAGGAAUACCGGUGGCGAAGGCGGCCCCCUGGACGAAGACUGACGCUCAGGUGCGAAAGCGUGGGGAGCAAACAGGAUUAGAUACCCGGGUAGUC
rnacentral:rRNA from 1 species